UUGGAGGGCAAGUCUGGUGCCAGCAGCCGCGGUAAUUCCAGCUCCAAUAGCGUAUAUUAAAGUUGUUGCAGUUAAAAAGCUCGUAGUUGAAUUUCGGGGUUAGUAGGUUGGUCAUGCCUCUGGUAUGUACUGGUCUCACUGAUUCCUCCUUCCUUAUGAACCGUAAUGCCAUUGAUUUGGUGUUGCGGGGAAUUUGGACUGUUACUUUGAAAAAAUUGAGUGUUUAAAGCAAGCUAACGCUUGAAUACAUUAGCAUGGAAUAAUGAAAUAGG
rnacentral:rRNA from 1 species